rnacentral:rRNA from 1 species
UCCGUAGGUGAACCUGCGGAAGGAUCAUAGUUAUGGAGAGGCGGUCAUUCUUGGCCCCUCGAUACACUCUGGAUGCAAUGCACCUCGGUGCUAGUUGCUGGCCUCUGCGCCGCAACAUAUCUUUGAAUCCAAUCAUGACCACACGUACCCAAAGUAACUUUACAACCGGUAGCGUUGGAUCCCUUGGCACGUCAUUCGAUGAAGACCGUUGCAAAAUGCGAUAAGUGGUGUGAUAUGCAAGUCCAAAACUUAUACGUGAACCAUCGAAUUGUUGAACGCACUGCAUCGAGCCUUACCCAGGAACGAUACGCCCCAUUGAGCGUCAUUACGUCUUCGCGACACCGUCAUUUACCUGACGUGUCCGGGUUCGGGAUUCACAGCUCGCGCUGCGCUUCCUUAGAUACAUUGCUGCACACGGAUCGACAGUCUCCUUGUCAUAAAUGCCAGGGACGGCUUGAGAUGCGCAUGCAAGAUCGGUCUCUCGCGGACCUGAUCGAUCGCAACGGCCGGCUCACGCUGGUCCGCGCACUUCUACACAUGACCUCACGGGGGCGGGACGACCCGCUAGACUUAAGCAUAUUAAUCAGCGGAGGAAAAGAAACUAACAAGGAUUCCCCUAGUAACUGCGAGUGAACAGGGAUGAGCUCAAUGUGUGAAUC